UCUUCAUUUCUCACGUGCUCUCU
rnacentral:miRNA from 1 species